rnacentral:lncRNA from 1 species
GAAUGUACUUUGUCAACCUGGUGCUUUUUAGAAGGCAGGCUGUGCUUUUUCUCUCUAGAGAUCUUGUAUUUUUUCCCUCCCAGCUGAGACUUCCUCCUCUGCCAGACACCUGUUCCAAGGAAGCUCCUGCAACUAGGUAAGAUGAAUCAAGCCUGGGUGGUCCUUGGUUUCUAUCUGGGUCCCAGGGCUGAAGGGUGCCGAUUGAUUCAGAGCCGGCUGAAGUGACUUACAGAGCUGGGCCUUUGAUUUCAGGGUGUGGGCUUGUGUCGUGAAGGUUGAGUAUCCAGGGUGACAGUGAAGAAUCCAUACUCCCACCCAAGAGUGGAUUUCAGUGCUGAGAGGAAGAGGAGGAAGACAUCUUGCUGGCUUGUGCCCCAGCUCAGCCCCCCUGGGGCUGCCCUGGCCUUGGAUACCCCCCAGCUGGAUUUGUUUCCAGAUCUGCUUCUCAACCCAAGGAGAUGCCCCAACAGACAGGGUCAUGACUUUUUCGAAGUCUCCCAGUGCACACCCCACCCUAGACCACCCACUACCUGAAAUCUGUCAGAGGCCCCACAUUGUCAAUCCUGUGAAGAGCAUUUAAAAGAAUCAGCACCCUUUAGGCCCGUGAACUAUACUUAAAUCAGUAAACCUCCGCCCCCA